rnacentral:rRNA from 1 species
UACGUAGGGGGCGAGCGUUGUCCGGAAUUAUUGGGCGUAAAGAGCUCGUAGGCGGUUUGUCGCGUCGGCCGUGAAAACUGGAGGCUUAACCUCCAGCUUGCGGUCGAUACGGGCAGACUUGAGUUCGGUAGGGGAGACUGGAAUUCCUGGUGUAGCGGUGAAAUGCGCAGAUAUCAGGAGGAACACCGGUGGCGAAGGCGGGUCUCUGGGCCGAUACUGACGCUGAGGAGCGAAAGCGUGGGGAGCGAACAGG